UACGGAGGGGGCCAGCGUUGUUCGGAAUUAUUGGGCGUAAAGGGCGCGUAGGCGGCGAGAUAAGUUAGACGUGAAAUCCCUCGGCUUAACCGAGGAACUGCGUCUAAAACUGUCUUGCUUGAGGCCGGGAGAGGAGAGUGGAAUUCCCAGUGUAGCGGUGAAAUGCGUAGAUAUUGGGAGGAACACCGGUGGCGAAGGCGGCUCUCUGGACCGGUUCUGACGCUGAGGCGCGAAAGCUAGGGUAGCAAACAGG
rnacentral:rRNA from 1 species